rnacentral:rRNA from 1 species
GCCUAGCCAUAAACAUUGAUAGAAUAGUACAACCUCUAUCCGCCAGGGGACUACAAGCAUCAGCUUAAAACCCAAAGGACUUGGCGGUGCUUUAGAUCCACCUAGAGGAGCCUGUUCUAGAACCGAUAACCCCCGUUCAACCUCACCUCUGCUUGUUUAUUCCGCCUAUAUACCACCGUCGUCAGCUUACCCUGUGAAGGUCUAGUAGUAAACUAAACUGGUAAAACCCCAAACGUCAGGUCGAGGUGUAGCGUAUGAAGAGGGAAGAAAUGGGCUACAUUCGCUACAAUAGCGAACACGAAUGAUAUCCUGAAACGUAUAUCUGAAGGAGGAUUUAGCAGUAAGUGGAAAAUAGAGUGUUCCACUGAAAUCGGCCCUGAAGCACGC